AAAAUCCUGUUUGUUAAUGUUAUCUUGAGUUCAUGGUGACCAUUUUCUUGAAGAUAUAGUUUGGAUCAUGUCUUGCCGAACAUUUUAGAGAAUCUUAACCAUUUCUCAGAAGAUGAAUACAUCUUAUCUUGAACAAGACCUUUUCUGCUUAGGUUUCUAUACACAGAUAAUGAGUAUGUUUUGGAAGCGGGCAUGCUGAUGCUGCAACAGUAGAUGUUCGGGCUAGAUGAAAGGAUUUUUGAAGCCAGAGGCCGUUGCUGCUGUUGCACCGACCUGUUAUAUUCACUCUAUCAAUAACGGUGCCGUUGCAGACACUAAAUCUUGUGAAUUUACAGGUAUGCACUCUUACAGGUUUGUGAAUUUUAUAAUUACCGUUGUAAAAUAAUGCAAAACUUCACAUUUAACACUUAUAUUUAGUUUUUUCAAAUUUUUAUGCAAUAAUUAAGAUACACAAUA